GACGGGGGGGCAAGUGGUUCUUCGGAAUGACUGGGCGUAAAGGGCACGUAGGCGGUGAAUCGGGUUGAAAGUGAAAGUCGCCAAAACUGGUGGAAUGCUCUCGAAACCAAUUCACUUGACGUGAGACAGAGGAGAGUGGAAUUCGUGUGUGAGGGGUGAAAUCCGGAGUCUACGAAGGAACGCCAAAAGCGAAGGCAGCUC
rnacentral:rRNA from 1 species